AUUGAACGCUGGCGGCAGGCCUAACACAUGCAAGUCGAGCGGUAGAGAGGUGCUUGCACCUCUUGAGAGCGGCGGACGGGUGAGUAAUGCCUAGGAAUCUGCCUGGUAGUGGGGGAUAACGCUCGGAAACGGACGCUAAUACCGCAUACGUCCUACGGGAGAAAGCAGGGGGACCUUCGGGCCUUGCGCUAUCAGAUGAG
rnacentral:rRNA from 1 species